rnacentral:rRNA from 1 species
UACAGAGGUGGCAAGCGUUGUUCGGAUUUAUUGGGCGUAAAGGGUCCGUAGGCGGUCCGUAAAGUCUGAUGUGAAAUCCCACAGCUCAACUGUGGAACUGCAUUGGAAACUCACGGACUAGAGUAUGAGAGGGGUUAAGGGAAUUCCCGGUGUAAGGGUGAAAUCUGCAGAGAUCGGGAGGAACACCAGUCGCGAAGGCGCUUAACUGGCUCAUUACUGACGCUCAGGGACGAAAGCUAGGGUAGCAAACGGG